CGGGACGGGUGAGUAAUGUCUGGGAAACUGCCUGAUGGAGGGGGAUAACUACUGGAAACGGUAGCUAAUACCGCAUAACGUCGCAAGACCAAAGAGGGGGACCUCCGGGCCUCUUGCCAUCGGAUGUGCCCAGAUGGGAUUAGCUAGUAGGUGGGGUAACGGCUCACCUAGGCGACGAUCCCUAGCUGGUCUGAGAGGAUGACCAGCCACACUGGAACUGAGACACGGUCCAG
rnacentral:rRNA from 1 species